rnacentral:piRNA from 1 species
UAGGUGGAGCAUUGAGGAAUUGUUUU